UACGGAGGGGGCUAGCGUUGUUCGGAAUUACUGGGCGUAAAGCGCGCGUAGGCGGACCUGCAAGUCAGGGGUGAAAUCCCGGGGCUCAACCUCGGAACUGCCUUUGAUACUGCAAAUCUCGAGUCCGGAAGAGGUGGGUGGAAUUCCUAGUGUAGAGGUGAAAUUCGUAGAUAUUAGGAAGAACACCAGUGGCGAAGGCGGCUCACUGGUCCGGUACUGACGCUGAGGUGGCGAAAGCGGUGGGGAGCAAACAGGG
rnacentral:rRNA from 1 species